rnacentral:rRNA from 1 species
AACGAACGCUGGCGGCAGGCUUAACACAUGCAAGUCGAGCGCCCCGCAAGGGGAGCGGCAGACGGGUGAGUAACGCGUGGGAAUCAACCCAUCUCUACGGAAUAACGCAUGGAAACGUGUGCUAAUACCGUAUACGUCCUUCGGGAGAAAGAUUUAUCGGAGAUGGAUGAGCCCGCGUUGGAUUAGCUAGUUGGUGGGGUAAAGGCCUACCAAGGCGACGAUCCAUAGCUGGUCUGAGAGGAUGAUCAGCCACACUGGGACUGAGACACGGCCCAGACUCCUACGGGAGGCAGCAGUGGGGAAUAUUGGACAAUGGGCGCAAGCCUGAUCCAGCCAUGCCGCGUGAGUGAUGAAAGCCCUAGGGUUGUAAAGCUCUUUCACCGGUGAAGAUAAUGACGGUAACCGGAGAAGAAGCCCCGGCUAACUUCGUGCCAGCAGCCGCAGUAACAC